ensembl:antisense Gm12002 predicted gene 12002
CUGUUCUUUAUGUUGGCCUCCUGACCAGGACUGAAUGACUCAGGGGUUAGGGUCCAUCCAUUUGCCUACAACCACUCUGGAAAUCAUUCUGGCGGUUCCUCAGAAAAUUGGACAUAGUACUACCGGAGGAUCCAGCAACACCUCUCCUGGGCAUAUAUCCAGAAGAUGUUCCAACAGAUCUGAAGUCUAAUUAGAGAGCAAUUGGUCACCACCGAGGUAUGUGUGACACAAAUGUACCCAUGUAAGCAUCCUGGAAAUAUCAGAAGCUAUAACCAUAAAGUCUCACUAACAUGAUCUAAAAAUGAGGUGAACAGGGACAACAACAGAAAUGUUAACAUGGAUGAGUGACAGCCAAAAAGGCCUCAACCCUACACAAAGAAGUACAGGCAACUAAGGAAUACUAGGGAAUGGAAGAAAUAGUCUUCUUCAGCAAAGAGCACACUGAUUGUUAUGCAACACCAAAUGGUCAGCCCUGAGAACUCAUGUAUUAGCAGCAUUACACAAACUGAGCAAAUAGAAUUUUAUCUUACCUACAAUAAUGACAAUGGAAAAAAAUGUCCUAUUGUUUUUUCAAGUAUUACCAGGCUUUAAUAUAAAAUGAAAAGCAUUCAUACUAGAAAAAAGCUUCCAAAAAGUCCAACACUUCCUUGAUUAAGACAUGUGCAUGGUCAUUUAAAAAAAAAAGCAGAAAAGGUGCUAAUCAGCCUCUCUGCACUGCAACCAUGACCGAGAACUCACAGCAAGGCAUGCUGGGGACGUAGCAGAGCUAUCCUCCCACGUACACACCAAGACCAGGACCUGCAGGAGCCUGAGUGCAUUCUUUAACGCAGGGACAUCAGCAGAUAUUUCUUCAGUAAUCUGAUCUGGCUUUAUAGCCAUGCCUAGCUCACAUAUCAUAAGAUCUUUGGGAAAAUAUACUCUGACU